UUAAGGAUAUUAAUGAUUUUUAUUUAUCAUCUGUUGCAAAUAUUUUGUCUCGGGGGUGUAACUUACCUUUAACCUUAUUGACUAUGCAUUUUAAUGUACAUUUACAUGGAAAUGUCUAUGUAUUAGGGCUCAUUUUACUUUUAACAUCUUCCAAAUUUGAUUCUCAUUAAAACUAUUUGAGAGAGAUGAAAUUCAGUAACUUUACUCUAGUUUUACUUGUGUAAUUACAGUAGAUGACUUUUCCAAAGCUGUGUAAAGUAGAGAUAUUGCUGUAUAUCUCACAGACAUACACAUUACUUGAUUCAACUAAGUUCAUGUACAGUACUAACUACCAGAGAUAUAAAGAUGGAUAAGAGAGGUUUCUUCCCUUGAGGAGCUCAUAUUGUGGUGGCACUUACUGGUAUAUGUGCGUGUAUACCAUUAUGAUGUUGUAAGCAAAAUCUGGGAAUAGAGGGUCUUGGGUAACCAUGCCUAAGAGAAUUGGGGAGAAUCUUGAACUAGUUCUUAAAAGGAUGAGUAGGAGGUAGGGGAUUUCUGUUAAUUAGAGGAUAAGACAUGAAAGUGUGAAAGUUGGUGAUCUAGUUUGCGGAAUAGCAAAUAUAUCUUCUGCUUACUGUGUUCAGAGUAUGGAGAAGGUGAGGUUAGCAAGAUAUAGUUUGGGGGAAUAUUGUGAAGGUCUUUGUAUUCUCCAUCAAGAAAUUUGGACCUUAUCUUGUUGUCAUGCUUUAUACCACUAUCAGUUUAAUUUUUCCGAAGUUUUAAAGUAGGGUAGUGUCCUGAGCAGAUCUGUAUUUUUAGGAAGGUCAUUCUGGCAGGAGAAUUGGAAGAUGGCCUGGAUGUGGAGUCAGACAGGAAAUGGGGAAAAAACCUAGGAAGCUUUUGUAAUUGUUCAGAAAAGAGAAAGGUAAGGAGAUAUUCCCAAAAAUAUCUUAGGAAAAGGAAGAAGGAAUCCUACUGAAGAGAUAUUUAGGUUAGAGACAGCAAGACUUAGUAACUGUAUAUGGGAGUGAGAGAGAGGGAGAAACUGAGACUCUCACGUGUUCAGCUUGGAUAAUUGAUAGAUUAUGGUGUUAUUAGCUAUUCUGGAGAAUUUGAAGAGAUAGGAAAUUUGGAGAAGAAAAUCAGUUUACAUUUGUUGCAUGUGAGUUACCGAUAAUAAACGCUGGGAGUUGUUCAGUAGACAGCUACAUGUGCUCAUUUGCAUCUCCAGUGUGAGCGUUAAGCUGAAAAUAGAGAUUUGGGCAUCAUCACCAUAUAGGCGGUGGAUGAAACCAUAGGUGUCGAUCAUAUUCCCAGGGAGACUGUGAAGAGUGAAAAAGAGAUGAGCUACGGACAGAACACUGGGGGAUACAAGCAUUGUGGGGAGAGAUGUUGUGAAGAUGAAAUUAGAUCUUGUAUGUGAAAGCACUUUAUAAGGGGUAGUGCACUUUUGAGAUGUAAGGGAUUGUUAUUAUUCUUAUUACAAUAUUAAGAAUUUCAGCCUCUAUAAGAGGAUGGAGAUAAGUACUAGCACAUGAUGCACUGAAGCAGAAGAAUACUUGCCAUUUUAACCUUGGAGGCACUAUAAAAAUCUACAAGCAAUUUUUUUAUAAAAACAUUUCAAAUGCUAAGGUAAAAGAAGCUUUUGUCAAGACUAAAUAGGAGCCAGAGUUCUUACUUUUGCUUGUUCCAGCUGUAGCCAUGGAUUUGCCAUCUGGGAAUUUGUAGUAACUGUAAGCAAGUAUGUUACCACUGAGUCAUCCCCCAUGGAGUGCUGAAGAAACAAGGCCUGAGUCCAGAUUUCCAUUCAAGAAUUUUACAAAACUGCCUUCUAAGAAAGCCCAAGAAACUUUCAUGAACCAGAAGCCCACCUGAUACUAGCAUGAUGCCUUAUUCUUUUCAGGUAUGCAAUAUACAUGUAAGUUUAAUGAGUAAAUGAUGAGUGAGUAAAAGAAUGUAGGGACUAAAGAAUGAGAGAAAUAGUAAAAUUAAUAAUCAUAUAAUGAUGCCAAUUUAGAUGAUUUCUAUUGUCUAGGACAAAUUAAUGUAUGCUAAAGGGUAAAGAAAAGUCCACCUGAGAUACUCCCUUAAGUGAGGAGACAUUAUGAAGAAGAUACAGGGCUUUAUCAAGGAAAAUUUUCAGACUUCCUUAAAUAGAGAACUUCAGAUGGAGAAGGCAGCCUUAGGAAAGGUCUGAAUGGCAAGACCUGGCACUGGGUCAGAAGCAUUAGAAGAAUGAAAUUGGACAAUCCAUUAGAGUGAAGGCUUUUUAAAAUGGAAUUGUGAACUUUUGCAUCCACAUAAACAGCCAGGGCUGAAAAACUAAAGGUCAGCUUUAAACUGUGAUAAAAGGAUCUACAUUAAAAAGGUACAGCUAUUUAAAUAGGUGAAUCCUGAGCCAAUGUGAAUUGGCUAAGGAACUCCUUAGGGAGAACAAGGAUAGGAAGCAGGGCUGGGGGAGGGGGGGGUUGUCUCUUUGCUCACAGAAGGAAGAGAAGGAGGCAGAAAGGAAUUAACAUUUCUUAAACUCUCUCUAGGUGCCAGUUACUAUGCCAGUAGUGGGAAUGUGAUAUGUUCCGAUGAUAGGAAACUGAGACUCAGACAGGUUUAGUGAUAUCAGAAGUGACACAGCUGGUGGCAGAGCUGGGAUAUAAAUUCAGCCAAGCUUGAACUUUUCUUAGGCUCUUCAACAAGCAUCUUAUACUCUCUCAUUUCAAGGAUUCUUCUGCACCUGCAGAUCCCCCUUCUCCUUCCUCACCUGACCCUCUUUACCAAGGCAUUUUUUUCUAUCUUUUGGCUCUUGGCUUAGAUUACCACCCCUGGAAAUAGUUAUUUGACCCUCAAAUAUGAGAAGGGGUACCCACUUUUUUGUUCCUAUAACAGCCUUUGCCACUACCAAAUGCCAUUUAGUGGUAUUUCUCAUACUGAACUGUAGUUAUUUGUUUACUCGUCUCCUUCUUAUUAACUGUGAGCUCCUUAAAGGCAUAGACUACAUCUGUUUUACGUUUUUGUUGCUCGCACAUAGCUUGUGCAUGGCAUAUAGUAGGUGUUCAGUAAAUAUAUACUGGUUGAAUAAAUAAUUGAAUGUUCGUUCUGACUUAAAGUUUAUGCCUUUUCCACUCUUGUUAUUUAUAUCUCCCCUGGCUCUUCCUUUCUUGGCUAAGCCAAUUCUCAUCUGGCUUUGGGAGAAAUUCUCUUUUAUUUAAUGUUUUUGUUUUUCUUACUUGACUUUUGUAUCUCAUGUUAAGUGUUUUGGAUUAGAUGAUAAUCACAAUAUUCUAGGAUAUUAGCUACCAUGCCAAGCUGCUAGUAGACUGUCAAAUGAAAAGAAGGCAGAGUUUGGUAUUAUUGCUAACACAGGUGUCCUUUAUGAUUCUUUUGCAGGCCCAUUAGAUGAUUCAUCAGAUGAAUUUCUUUACCAGUCAACUUGGAAGUACAGUACACACAUGAGAUGGCUUUCUGACAAGGGGAGUGGGAGGGUAGGGAAUGUGAUUAAUGGUACGAAUGAAAGUACCUUUAAAAUAGCUUUUUAUUUAAAACAAUAGAAAACCCUAGUCCAUACACAUAAAAUGUAUUCUAUCUAUAAAUGAAGCCCUAGCUUCAAUUGUCAGAAAAUUACUUCCUAAGGGUAAGCCAACCAGCAAGUACUUAAUGGGCUUUCUCUGCUGUUGUGCUGGGCCUCACUGAGGGUAGAAUUGGCAUGGUGACAGAAACAAAGACACAUUGAUUGUGGGCUACACCUGAAGCAGCUUACAAUAUUAUUGUAGGGAUAUGAUUAACACAUGUGAAACAAUUAAGAAAGCAAGGAGGCAUAUAAUUUAAUGCUAACUUAUGAGCCAAGACAAUAAAUAUAGAAGGAUUUUAAAGAAGCUUGAAAUUCAUUCAUUUGCUCACUCAACAAAUAUUUAUUGAUUUCGUUUAUGUGGGAAACAUUGUGUUAAGCCCUUGGGGAAGCCAAGAUUAACAUAACCAGUCUCUGCCAAUGAAGAACUGCCGGUCUGUUGAGAUCGCAUGUAUGGCUACUAUGACAGUGAUGUGUAGGACAGGAACGCCAAGAAGCACACUGAUGGCUCUGUCUGAGAAGUCAACGAGGCUGCAUAGAGAUGACUUUUGACCCAAGUCUUAACUCAUGAAUAACUUAUGUGCAGUUUUUUUCAGAAGAAAAUAAACCAGUAGAUUUUUUUUAACUUUGCCUCUCCUUCUCGUUGACUGUGCUGCUUCCUGACUGUUAUCUUUAGCAAUGGAUGUUGAAUUAUAGAGUGCUGAGGAAGAUGAAGAGAUCAGAAGUGUUUUGCCACGAGUGCCACAUUAUAUAGACAAACCUUGCAGAAUGGAAAGAGAGAAGAAAAAGAAGGAAAAUGUUGCUUUGUAAUACUUCUUCAUAUUUUAUUGUGUUUACCACUUCUUUCUUCCAUAGAUUAAUUAUGAUCCAGCAUUCUUUUUGUUUGAUCUUCUAACAUUACUUGUACUUGUAACAAUGUAUUAGUUAUAAUAUAUUUUGAUAUUAUUCAAUAUCAGUUGUACUUCUAUAUAUUUAUAUCCUCCUAUUAGAUCGGGUUUUUUGAGAGCAAGAAUUACAUUUUAUACUUUUGUUCAGGGGACAAAGUAGACAGGAACAAAUAUUUAUUUUAUUUCUACUAUGUUGCAAGAGCUGUGCUAGCUCUUUAUAUGUGAUACUUUAUAAUCCCUUCAAUAAUCCUAUGAGGUAUAUUGUAUUAAUCCAUUUCACAGAUGUGGAAACUACAAAAUGACUAAAUGUCUUGUUGAAGGUCAUAUAGCUAAACAGUAAGUGCCUGAGAUGUGAUUCAGACAUGGUUUAUUUGCCUCCUCUCCGCUUUCUACCACUUCGCAGAAUGUUAGUUUUAAAAUAUAGAGAAUGUAUUUUUAUAAAAGACAAAGAACUGAUUAGUUCUCUUUAUGUAAAGCCUUUGUCUUGUUCAUUAAUUAAUUCACAAAAUAUCCUGCCAUGCGCCAGGAGUUUUGGAUUCUAAAACGAAAAGAUAUUCAUUGCUUUCAUGGAAAUUACCAUUUGGUAGAAAUAAGAUCUCUUGAAACAAUUGGGAACUUUCUUAAAUCAUCUCUUUCAAUAAGAUGAGAAUUCUAACAAAGUCCACAAUGUCUUAUUUUAACCAAAAUUUUUGACAAAAAAUGUUAGAGCCAUUGUUUUAAAGGAAAUUACUGUCAAUCACCUUUUCAGACCCCCAGUCUCUUUCGGGCCAGAGGUCCUCCUAUCAGAAGCCAACUUGCACUUUUCUAUUUGCAAAUAAUAGCAAUAUUUUUUUUCUGGACAACUGUAACCUCACUGCUAUUUCUAAACUUGGCCCUUAGGGAAAAACAUAUUUUUAAAAAUUUAUGAGUUAGUGGCUUCAAAUAUUGGCUGAAUAACAGAAUGAUUUACUGGUGUAAACUUUAGAUUUGAAAUAACAAGAUGUCAGUGAGUUAGAGGUUCAAACAAUGGAUCAAAGAUCUUGUUUCUUCCUUUAAGAGAAAAUGAAAUGUGAAAGAACAGUGUCCAAUUUAGAUGGAGUGUGACUAAUUCAUGUUGAGAUGCGAAGACAUAUUGUUCAGGGAUAGUUGAGGAGGAACAGCAAAGCAGGAAUAAUUUUUAUAAUGGAGACUGGAUGAAGAAUAUAAUAAAUGCUUACUGAUUUAGUGUGAAAAAUACACUUAUUGAAAGAUUUCAAACUUUUGUUUACAUUUCACAGGUAGCAUCCUUAAAUCUCUAGUAUAUUAUAUACUUAGAAAAGCAAUAAUUCCUUCCCUCCUCCAUAGGUUCCUCCUCUAUCUUUAAAAUUUACUAGUUUUCCAUCUCAUAAGGAAAAUAUCAAUACUACUUCUCCUUAUAUUUAAAUUGCUUCCUGAAUGCAAUUAUAUACCAAACACUGUGCUAACUAUUUCGCAGUCUUGUGUUACUUUGAUCUCACCUUGUUACCUCCUCAGCAACCUUGUUUAAUCAGUUAACUCCUUUCAUGUCUCUUUAACCUCUCCUUUUCUAAUAGGAUCUUCAUAUUUAAAGAAACAAAUUUUCUAUUUUGACUUUGCUUCUCCUAGUGUCUUCCUACCUUCUUCACUCUGCCCCAUCACCUCCAAUUUACACCUCACUUCACUGCAACCUGUCUGUGCCUCUAAUACUUUUGCCUAGAAACUUAUUUUUACUGAAGUUACCAGUGGGAUACAUGCCAAGUCUCAGCUUACUUUGACCUUCUUAUAGCAUUUGAAUUUCUUGAUACUCCUCCCUAUAGAAAUUCUCUCUUCUUUUGACUUGUGACAACACACAUUUUUUGUUUCUCCUAUGUCCCCUAUGACUAUUCCUUUUCAGUCUCCUUCUUGGAGUAAUUUUCUCUACCUUUUCCUUAUCUAGAAAGAACAGCAGGAAAGCCAAUGUAGAGAAGGGGAAGAAGGAAUCUAAGAGGAGACAGGGCUAGAAGAGGCAGAGCCUUGAAAGCUGUGUUAGAGACAUUGGUCUCCAUUCUGAGAGCAGUGGAAAGCCUUUGAAGGGUUUGAAGCAGGGGUGUAAUGUGAUCUGAUUUGCAAUUUAGAGUAGAGGCAGGCAAGUAUGGAAGUGGGGGUGACUAGUCAGGAGAAAGGAUAAACUUAGAUAAAAGAGGAUAGUAGGUUGGACUAAGAUAGUAGCAGUAAAAAUGAAAAUAAGUGAAUAUAUUCAAGGUAUGUUUAGGACAUAGGUAAUAGGUUGUAUAUGAAAGGUAAGAGAGAAGUUGUUUAUAGCUUGAAUAGCCUGAUAGAUGGCAAGGACAUUUCCUGAGAAAGGAGCAAGUUUGGGGUACUUCAAUAGGAAGAAAGUUAGUGAAGCUGGUGGUUGAAGGGUACCCCACUUGGUCUCCUCAUAUCUCUGUCUCCUCCAUGCUAAUGAAACCCAACUGUUGUGCUUUCCUGAUAGCUUUCCAGAUGUAGAAGUGCCGUGACCUUUUUGCAGCCCUCAUUCUCCUUGACAUUGUUAUACGUAUUUCACAGGAUGAAAUAUGUGACAGCCCUUUAAAUAUUGAGAGGACUAUUAUUUGGAAGAAGGAUUAGAAUGACUUUGUGUGUCCCUAGAGAGAAGAAUGAGGACUUAUGGGAAGACAUAUUUUAGCUGAGCAUAAAUAAAGAAUUUUAUAAUGAUUAAUGAAAAAGAAUGUCAUGAGAUGGUAGCAAGGUCCAUGUGAUUGGAAUUGUUUGUGCAAUCUUCUGUGACCAUUUCUUGGAGAUAAUAUUAGAGAACAUUUACACAUUGCGUGGGGGAGGAUAUGGGAAGGGAUGACCAGAUGACCGCUAGCUCUGUUCUAACCCUGAAAUUUUGUGGUUCUGUCAAAUUUCCGUGUUCUUCUUCCCAUUGUGACAAACACAGGCAGUUCUGAAUAACUAUGGCCUAAAGAAUCUCUCCUGGAUGCUGACUGCUUAUUCAUUCAGAAUUUUGUCAUUUCUUUGAGUACAUGCAUGAGAACACAAUUUAUUCAGAACAGUCACUCAGAAGUAAGACACUGAGAAUGCAUUAAUGAAGCUACGGUAAUUGAGGAUUUUACCCAAGUGUAACUCCCAGCCCUGAAUUAUGCAUAAUUCUUCUUCAGUAUGUAUUGUGUCUUUCUUAGCCAGCACGGAGUGGUCGCUGUGGAAGAGCUGCAUGUUUUAAUUAUAUGAGAAGAUGUUUCUUGUUUUGAUGAUCCAAACAAGUGAAUUGUUUGCUUCUGGAAAUACAGAUGAGUUUUGAAUAGCAGGACACAUUGGGAGAUAGGGAGAAAAUGAUAUCCCUCUCCUCAGAUAUUUACUAAAUAUCCAGCUACAUUGUCUCAAGGCUGUCUGCUGUGUAAGGAGAGAAGAAGGCAUUCCAGUUUUUUAACUAUUGUUCACAUUAAACUAUUAUUUACAUUAAAAUAACACCUCUGUCAAUAAACAUAGUAAGGAGCUGCAUUCAGUAUCCACAGUUAUCACACUGAAUCUUUUCAUGAAGCAGAAAGGGCAAAUUCCCAUGAUCUGUGUAAAGUGGGUAGAAGGUUUCAAGGGUGAGAAUGCAUGGCUCUUUCUAACUUAGUAUGCUAAAAAUAGGGCAGGGAGUGUGAGUUUCUCCAAAGACAAUUUUAUUCUUAGUCACUCUUUCAUAGUAUCAUGGUUGCUACUAAUUUUUAGUCCAAGAUGAAUUGUGAGUCUGUGAAAGUGGGACCCAUCACUGUCAUGUUCAUCAUUGUAUCUUGUACAUUUGACAAGGUGUCUGGUGUGUUGUAGGCACUCAAUAAAUGUUUAUGGAAUAAAGGAAGGUAGGCAGGCAGACAGAGGAGGACUGGGGUAUGGUCUAAUAUCAAGAGAGCAAGAAUAGGAUGAAUAUCCAAAUCUUGCCCAAGAUGGAAAAUAGAAGUCAUGCUCAUGAGCAGGGACAGGCACCAGCCUUGUAUAAUAAUAGAUGUCAAGUCCAAGUGUGAGAGUCAAAUUCCAUGACCAAAUUCUCUGUAUACAUUACUAGCAGUUAACAUGGGGCAAAAACAUAAUUGGCUGGUUGAAGCUCAGAUCUCAUGAUUAAGCCAUUCUAGUUGUUUUAAAGGUUUAGCUAGUCCUCUGAGUCCAUCAACUGACACAACUAUGGAAACUCAAGGAAUUAUUCUAGGUAGAUGUUUGGAGAGAUUUAAAAGUAAAGUAGACAAUUUAGCCACUGCUCUCACAGGACUGAAUCUUCUCAAUGAGAGAAAUCUUUUGUACGAAAAUAUAAUAGAAAGGAAUAUGUGAUGAGUGUCAAAGUGAGUGGUGUUUUACAGUAAAAGGAUCACUGUGGGAUGCAGAGAGCAGUUCAGGAUUCAUAGGUGGGCAGGAUUUAUACUAGGCUUUAAAUACAUGAUUUGGACUUGCCUCAACAAUGAGGAAUGGGAAAGCAUUUUAGGCAGGAGUCAGACAUGGAGGCAGGAAUGCUUAAAUCAUGCAGAGGGUCCACAUGACCAAAUUUCAAGAUGGCUCACAUUAGAAUUGUCUUUGAGUACAAAUUAUUCAAUGUGUGGACAAAGAUUUAGCCUCAUUGGGGAAUGGUUUGCUGUGUGAAAGAAGAGACUGAGGUUUUCAGUGGACUUGUUUGCCCUUUGUAAACGUGAUACUGAGCUGUGAGUCUCGCUGCUACCAAGAGUAGAAGGAUUGGUAGUGGUGGUAGCAUCAGCUGCUACUUCACUAAGCUUUACUUGUGUUAACUUAUUUAAUCAUCCAAGAACUCUAGAGGUAAGUAAUAAUAUCAUUCAAAUCUUGCAGAUGAGGAAACUGAGACUCAGAGAGGUCAAAAAGAAAAUAAAAGAAAAACUUAUCUAUGAUCACAGAGCUAGAAAGCACCUACUUAUAACACAGGGUUUAUAUUGAGAAAUAACAAGAGAUUGGAAGAGAGGCAGUUAUUUGAUACCAAAAGUUAGGUUAAGAAGUUUGGAUUUUAUUCUGAGUCUGUGGGUGGUUGUUGAAGAUGUUACUGUUCUUAAUGUCAUGUGGGAACUAGGCUGGAAACCAAUUCCCCUCAUCCUAUGAACACAUACAUAAGCAAUGGCUGGGCUAAUCCCCAGUACUCUGAGUCUGUAGCAAACUAGGUCAAUGGGAUUUACCCAUUCCCUGUGGCUGUUAGGGCCAAUCACAGGCCUUCAGCACUGACAUACUACAUUUCAGUUGUUCUCUCACUGAUUCUUUAAGGCAUCUUAAAGUGAGAAAGAUCAUCUAACUCCCACUCAGAUCAAAUUCUCUAUUAGUAUUCAGUCAGCUUGCUUUACUUCCCUGUCUGCUGAAAAUCCACAGGUAGCCAAAUUUCAAGAUGACUCACAUUGGAAUUUCCCUUGAGUACAAUGAUUCAACUUUUGAACAAAAGUUUAAGUUAAUUGGGGAAUGGUUUGCUGUGUGAAGAAAGGAAACCGGGAGUUUUCAGUGGACUUGUUUGCUCUUGGUAAACUGAAGGAUUGUUGCUAAUGUCAUGUAGCAGAAGAAAGUCUCAUCCUGCUGGACUGAUUUUCUGUAGUCCCUAAGACCUAGCACAAUGCUUGAUGCAUGGUAGACACUAAAUAAAUACUUGUUUAAUAAAUGAGAGACAUAUAAAUUGGAAUCAACGGUUUGUGUCCAAUUUUAAAAUGUCUCGUAUGAGAGAAAUUUUAUAGGUAUAGGAACAAGUUUAAACAAGACAAAUAAAAAAUUGUUCAGCUGCUUCUUUCAUGAAUCUUACUGUCACCUAGGAAUAAUGGGGACAGUCUAUUAAUUCACCAGUGAGUAGUAUUGUUAAUAAAGAAACUGCCCUUUUUUACUUUCUAUUAUCUCUUUAGUGUAAAAGACUCUGAUGUUCAUCAGACCACACUUGCCUUUCAAAAUAGCACUAGUGUCUUUCUGUAGCCUCCAGAAAGAUGGUGUGGUUCAGUGAGGAAGCAAGUAGGGUUAUUCAAAGUCUUUAGAAACACAGGCUUUCAGAAGACCUGUGUUCAGAACCCUGCUCCUUCAAUUAUGCUCUGAUAUAAGGCAAGUAAAUGGCCGCUCUGGACCUCAAAUUCUUCAUCUGUAAAACUGAAGAUAAUAAUACCUUCUUUGCUGGAUCCUUAUGAUGAUUAAUGAGGAAAUUGUGUAAAGCACUUGGUACGUAGUAGGUACAAAAUAAAUUUCAAUUCACUUCUUUCCUUUUGUCAAAUGAAUAGUUUGUACAAUUAAACAGUAAGUAUAACUCUGCUAAAUUUGGUCUGUGUGGAGGUUCUAGCACUGAGUUACUAUGACAACUUACUUUUUUUUUCUGGAAAGGCAUUUUCUCUAGGAUUGGUAAUUUUUAAAAUUAAAAUGCUCUAUUAAAAAGCUACCAAAUAUCUGCCAAACACUUUUUACACUCCAUCCCUAUUAGCCAAUUUUAUUCAAGUAUUUUCAUUUUAUUUUACUGUAAUAUAGGAGUUGAUUUUUCCCAAUAAACAUCCCUGGGGUACCAUAAAUCAUGCUUUAUUCCACUUAUUUAAAAAUGAUUCUCUUAAAUAUAUACAAACUUAUACUGAAGCAUUUUAAUCAAGGAUUCCUUUUCAGACAUCUGAGAUCACAAAAGAUCAGGACUAUUUAUUGCUUUCUAAAUCACGGCUGGUAGACACAUAGCACAAAUUCUAGUACUUCUCACAUCUAUGCUAAUGACAAGCUUCCCUAAUAUUCCAGUUUUUCCUUUAGAAUCUUUCUGAACACAGCACUGCAGAAAGCAACUAUCUAUAAGUUGGUGUUAACACAUAAGUUCAUACCUAUUUUCCCUUUAUGGACAAAACCACGACCGACGUUCCGGAGCCUAUCAGUGUUGCUUGAUAUUCUGCCUGAAAUUAUAUCAUUUGGUAUACAUUCCUGGAGUUAACCAAUGCCUUCCCUCCAAGGAUUUCUUUGAUAAUAUUUUUACCCCAUGGAAUUGGUAACACACUGACCCCAUGAAAUUAGUUUCAGUUUAUGAGCCCUAGCUGAAUGGAGAAAGCUUGCAGCCAGAGAUGAUGUACAAGAAGCAGCAGCUACAGCUGCAGAUUUACUGUGGAUUGGCUUACUUUUGAUCAAAAAGGUGAAUAUAGUCCUGAUUUUUGUAUUUUAACUGAAGAAAUUAAAGUUGAGCUAUAAAAUCUGUUAAUUCAAUGUUUCCCAAAACUUAAAUCAUUUCCUUACCACCUCCAUGAUUUUUGCCAUAUUCAUUUACCAUCUGAACUAUUAUUUAAUUAAUAUUUUUCUUUAUUGUGACUCAAUUUUACUUAAAGUUUAUUUAAACACAAAAUUUUAUUUCUCUAUUAUGAUGAACAUCCACACCAUUGAACAUCAUAGAAUGUAACUAUAGACAAUUAAAAAAUUAGACUGUCAUUAAAUUCCAGCUAGAAACUUUGUCUGUUAAUAACUCUAAGAAGCUAGUUCUCUCUUUGUAAUAAAACAUAUAUGUAUGUUUUUUAUUGAUCAGAACCAGAAGGGUUCAAUUUUUAAGAGAUCAAUAUUUCCCCAAAAGUCUGGAAGACAAAGCUUUUCUCUUAAGAAGGCAGUUCUUUCUUUCCUUUGCAGAAAUAUAUAUAUAUUUGUUUAUAUUAUAUAUAUGUUUUUUACAAAAAGAGAACUAGCUUCUUAGACUCAUUAAGGCAUUAAUUCAUAAUAUAUAUAUUAGGGAGAUUUACAUGCACAAAAUGAGGCUUUCUUCAUGAUAAAAUCUGAAAGGUUAUGCUCCCCCCCCAAAAAUUAAAAAGGAGUGGACAUUACCAACAAGUUGGUUCUGUGAACUUACAUCUUACUGCUCUAAGCUCCUGGCCAUAAUAGGUAGAAUAUGAGUUAUUUAUAUUUAUAUAAACUAAAUAGACAUAGCCUUGCUCAAAAGACUGAUACACAUCUCUCUCUCUGAGCCAGAAAUAGAACAGAAACAUGCAGCUAUGAAUGGGGACUGAAGUCAUAAACUUCCUGGGCUCCAAGUUGGGCAGGAAUAUGAUUCCAUUUUGUUAAUGGAAACUGAGAAAACUAAUGUGGGACGGGACCAGAGCCAGGCCCACUAUAUUUCAUGUCAUAUAUUCAUAUCAUGGAGUACUAUACAGCAUUGGAAAUGAACUAUCUACAAAUACAUACAACAACAUGUGUGGAGCACUCAAGCAUAAUAUUGUAUAAAAGAAGACAGACACAAAAGAGUAUACAUUGUAUGAUUCUAUUUUUCUAAAGUACAAAAGUAGGUACAAUUAAUCCAUGUUGUUAGAAGUCAGCAUAAGAGUUACCCUUGAGGAGAAGUGACUGGACGGCAGCAUAAGGGGGGAUUCUGGGGUACAGGUAAUGUUCUGUUUAUUCCUCUGGGUGCUGGUUGCAUGAUAUAUUCUGUUUUUGAACAUUCAUCCACUUGUACACUAUUAUUAUGUACAUUUUUCUAUAUGUAGAAUUUAAAAAGACACUUUAAAUUCCUUAGAGUACAAAAGUUCACUGAGAACUAUAAAAUAAAAAAUAAUUUCACGCGCAAAUAGGUCAUAGUGAAACUAUAGGAUAUCUGAAUAAAACCGCCAGAGAGAGAAGAUGAGUAUCCUCCUAGAAACCAUAAUUAGAUGGAUAGUGGAUUUCUAUCAACUACAAUAAGUAUCCAAAAAUCAAUGGUGUAACAACUUCAAA